CACGUAGGGUGCGAGCGUUGUCCGGAAUUAUUGGGCGUAAAGAGCUCGUAGGCGGUGUGUCGCGUCGGCCGUGAAAACUUGGGGCUUAACUCUGAGCGUGCGGUCGAUACGGGCAUCACUUGAGUUCGGCAGGGGAGACUGGAAUUCCUGGUGUAGCGGUGAAAUGCGCAGAUAUCGGGAGGAACACCGGUGGCGAAGGCGGUUCUCUGGGCCUUACCUGACGCUGAGGAGCGAAAGCGUGGGGAGCGAACAGG
rnacentral:rRNA from 1 species